GUUUUCUUUCCUCGGUUUCGUCCGUAGUUUGAACCUCUGUCCUGAGAUCUGACAAGUCGGUGUGAGCAGACCGUCGGCGUCAACAGUUUCAUACCUUGUGGCCUGCAUCUACCUGUCCUUGCUGGGGUUCUGCUAUCUCCACUGGGUCUUGGGUGCAAAGAGGGAUGCAACAUUGAUAGUCACUACCAGUCCUUCACACAAUAAAACAGAGAGACACAGAACCAACAACCUUGAACACACGGACGAAAAGGGAAUUUAGAGUAACUAAUUGAUCUAAUAUUCAUGUUUUUGGAUUGUGAGAGGAAGCUAGAGAGAACCCAUGCAUGUAGAGAGAGAAUAUGCAAAUUCCACGCAGAAAGAGGUCAGACCAGGAGUCAAACUCAGGGCCUUCUUGCUGUAAGGCAACACCAGCCUUUCAACCAUUCAGUCGAUUGUUACAACAAGCAACAAUAUUUUAGUUAUAUUUUUCUUAACUAAUGCAAACUAAUCUUUAAUACAGAAAUGUGUACCAAUAUGUUCAGAGGGUAAGCAAUCUGGAUAUUUGGAACCUAUGUUCCUGAUAUAUAUUCAUGUGAUGGCUCUUAAAACACUGAUUCCAUCUGCAGUCCAAGCCUUGUCAAUUGCCCCUAAACUCUUGAAUGGGCUUUGCUUUACCAGCCGCUCAAGGCUGCAGUCAUUCCUGUCGCUUGUGGAUAUUUUUGUAACAAAUUCGUUUGCUUCCAACUUCACUUUCAAUGUUCGGGUAAUAUUGUUAAACAUAGUUUUACAUGAACAGUCAUUUUCUUUAACAAUAAUCUUUUGUGGUGUUUCCUCUUUGUGGAGGGUGUUGUGAAUGACUGUAAGACAGUAUAGAGUCAGUAAUCUUCCCUUUGGCUGUGGACACUUUACCUAGUCUAACAUUUUUAAAUAAAAGUGCCCACUGAGUUUUAUCCAUUUGGUUAUGGUUAAUCCAUAACCAAAUGGAUAUGGAUUCCAUUUGGUUAAGCCAAGCAAGUAACCUACAAGAAGGCUAACACGAGCCCCUGCAGCCUCAAGCAAUAUCCAUGGGUCUCAUGUACAAUUUGGAGGAUGAAUGUUAUACUUCUUCUAUUUUGACUUGAAGUGAUGUAAUAGGAUCUCAUAUGAUCUGUUUAACAACUCAAGUCUCUUUUUUCCCACAACAUAUUUAGGUAUCUAAAACUAUGUUUUAUUUGUGAAAGUUAUUUGGGAGGACAAACUUUUUUAUAAGGAUGUUUAGGCUUUUCAUAUCAAGCUGUGUAUUCAACUCAUGAGGUUAAAAUACCACUAAGUCUUACAUAUUUACCAUACGCUUUCCUUCGAGGACCCCAGCAAUGCUGAGAGAAUGCUGCAUUAAUAGUGAAACAGGACACUCUGAAAACUGAAUUAACCACACAGAUUCCAUUCAGGACUAUGUAUAGACAUUUCUUUAAGGCCCCACAGGCAAAAUCAGCUCUCUUUACUGUGAGGAGUUUUAUCACCCUGACUGGCCUCUUUACAGCUUUUUCUCAAUGAGCUGAUAGUGCAAUAGAUUCUUGCCAAUGACAUGUGGAUGGCGUGAGAAAAAAAAAAGUGCUGCAGGUUUACUGUGGCAUGGCUGCAGCGGGACCAAAAAGAGUGCUGGCAGAUGGGCGACAGCAUGGGUGAAAGGACAGCUGGCACACUGCAUCUCAAAAACAAAAUAAGAUAGGACUGCUUUACAUGGGAAUGAAUAAAUCUUCAGCCUGUGAAAAAACAAUCUCACAGGCACCUUUUGUUAAAAAAAAAUGCAGGUUUCCAUCAGCGAAUUCAGAGACAAAAGGUUGUCUAAUAUUGUUGUUUGUCUCAAAUGCAGAGACAGCUGGUGUGUGGUGGAUGUGUGGGUUUAAGGUAUCAACUUGCAUGAGCGCAGGAAACACCCACCUAUAGAUAACCCUUUCUCCACCCACAUUUCCCUGUAGUGUUAACUAAUUAAAGGCCAAACAUCAAGGAUCUCAUGUCAUUCUGUACAUUCUGGAACAUCAAGAUGAAUUUUAUGAUUCAGUUCAGUGCAGUUUAUUCAUAAGGCACCUAUAAACAACAAUCAGAUAAACAAGUGCUAAAAGGUCCACCAAUUCCUUUGUAGUUAAAAAGGCACUGGGUCAGCUUAUAGCUGACAAGUGUAGAGGAACAAUGUACAAGUACAUUUAACUGCUACGUCUUUCUAUACAAAAGUAGAUUGUAGCUUUCUGCCAUAGACUUUAAAAAGAAAACCUGCAUUGCUGUGGCAUACUCUCAAAUAAAAACAAGUUCCUUAUAGAUUGUGAAUGCAAAUGGUGCAGAUUUGUUUUCCUGCUAUGCAAAAACACCCUGGCUAUUAACAGUCUGCAUAUUGUGGAUGUGUGGUAGGCUAAGGGAGUACAGAAUCUCUGCAAAGGCCUUGUGAAAGAAGUCAGUUGAAGUGGGAAAACAUAAUUGUUAAACCAAACCUUUAAUGAAUUAGGGGUGUCCCAAUACCAGUUUUUCCAUACCAAGUACAAGUACUUGAGUUUAGGUGCUUGCCGAUUCCAUGUGCCGAUUCAGCGUACUAGUAUCAGGUAUCAGACCUGAUACUAGUAUCGGUAUCGGACACCACUGUCAUGAAUGGUUCGAUUUUCUAUCAGAGAAACAUCCUGUAUUGUUCUAAAACACAGCACCACUGAACAAUGUACAGAACAUUAAAAUUUACCCCAAAGACAUA